AGCACAUGGUGGAGGAGGGGGAACAAAGGCUGCCUGUGCAGAGGGUCGGGCUGCAAGGACCUGGGUGCCUCUCUCGGCAGGAUCUGUUGGAAAUGGAAUUUGCAUCUAGGAAGAAACGGAUGCCUCUGAGAAGCAUUAUUUUUAAAGCAUGGAGAUGCAUGAGUUGGUGUGAAAGGAAACUCUUAAAGAGAGAGGGAGUUGCAGUUGCAUACAGCAGCAUCAGGUGUUCGGAUCCAGGAGCAAUAACAAGUUGAACUGAGCGUGGAGGGGCUUCUCCCCUUGCUUCUCACCCCUACAAAAUAAUCAGGACCUUAGUGGGGAAAAUGGAGAAACUAUUCACAAUGGGUCAUUUUGAAAAUGGCCUUCAAUGACACAUCCUGGAUCUUGUAAGCACCUAAAACAAAAGGCUAGAGAAUCGGAAGACAAGGCGGGAUGCUGGAUUCACUUCUCACUGUGCACUCUGGAUUUUUGUUGGAAAUCUUGGAUAAGGAUUUGAGAUGACAUUAAAGAAAAUGCAUCUUUCUCCUGCAGCAUCAGUUUUAUAAAACAGAAAAUUUCAGCCUGAAGACUUUAAGAAGUUCACUCCUUUCACAUCUGUACUAUAAUGGGUCCUUAAAGUAAUGCUGAGACUGUACUCAGAAAUAGAAUAAGUAAAAGGAUUUGGGAAACUCGGAAGCCUCCUAAGUAAAAGGAUUUUGGAGGUUUGGAUAUUCCUCUUUGAAAAAAGGAAAGGAAGGAGAAAUGGAAUCGAUUUACUUUGAACACAACUGUGGCCUGGAGUUGGAUUUUUGUUGUUGUUGUGUAGAUUAGUAGUUAAAUACCAUGCUCUCUUGCAAAUAUCAGACUUAAUCCACUGCUGCCAGAGAUUUUUCCGUUGUCCACACUACAGCAAAUAAGGGUUUGACCACGUUUAAAAUGCCAUCUCUCUGAAGGUCUUUUAAAGUACCUAGUGACUAUAUAUUAGUGGGGAGAAGAUAUAGGCUUAAUUUGUGGUAUUCCUUGUUGGCCAAGUGCUGCUCCAAUUUCUUAUCUCUGUUUCUGCUCCCUGCCUGGUCUGCUGUGUACCAUACACAGAGAUUGGCCACCCCUAGCAUGUGUGAAUUGAGAAUCUGGAAUUGAGAUUAACGAACAGUAGUUGAGUUACUUUACAUCCAGAAUUUAAUCUGGAAAGUCCACUUUUUGUAUGGUGUGGGGGUUCUUCCCCCCCCAGCAUUUAUUUAGGGUUAGGUUGAUGUUUUCCAAUUUGUCUUCAGGAAUUUGUUUUUCUUUUCACACCAUAAAAAAAAAUCCUUUUCUCUGGAGGGCUGCCACCUCAACCCUGCUACAAGGUGUGACUUGUGCAAACAGAUGAUAAAUGGCUGAAACAAUGGGAGACCUGGGAGUGGCGGCUGAACGGCACGUAGCAGUACUUGAGGAAAUUUAGGUGUGAAUCCCUGCAGCUAGAAGAGGACAUUGUGCUGUCAGUACAAGUGACGGCUGCUAAUCUGGGCCGUUCCCUUCUCAUCAAGAGUUUGGCAAUCACUUUUGAGUAUCUAACUGAACAACAGUAUUAAUAAUAAGCAACAUUAUCUCUACCAUUUAACCGUGACGAACCUCAAGAUGCGGGCCCCCAAAUAAAAGCAUUUUCUGACGA